rnacentral:rRNA from 1 species
AUUGAACGCUGGCGGCAUGCCUUACACAUGCAAGUCGAACGGCAGCACGGGAGCAAUCCUGGUGGCGAGUGGCGAACGGGUGAGUAGUACAUCGGAACGUGCCUAGUAGUGGGGGAUAGCCCGGCGAAAGCCGGAUUAAUACCACAUACGACCUGAGGGUGAAAGCGGGGGACCGCAAGACCUCGCGCUAUCAGAGCGGCCGAUGCCAGACUAGGUAGUUGGUGGGGUAAAAGCCUACCAAGCCGACGAUCUGUAGCUGGUCUGAGAGGACGACCAGCCACACUGGGACUGAGACACGGCCCAGACUCCUACGGGAGGCAGCAGUGGGGAAUUUUGGACAAUGGGCGCAAGCCUGAUCCAGCCAUGCCGCGUGCAGGAAGAAGGCCUUCGGGUUGUAAACUGCUUUUGUCAGGGAAGAAAAGUUCUGGGCUAAUACCCCGGAGCGAUGACGGUACCUGAAGAAUAAGCACCGGCUAACUACGUGCCAGCCGCCGCCGUAA